GGGGAGCCAUGCCCUGAGGGAGGGGAGCCAUGCACGAGCAGCUUCGGGUGACAGCGGCUCGCUUCAAGAGCAGGUGAAGCUAUUUGGGACAAUGCUGAAGACGUUUGCUCGCACUGGGCAAUCAGGUGCAGAUCAGACCCUAGUGCUGCGACGUCUUGGAGAGUUUGGCGAUGUUGUGCGUAGCAUGGAAAACAAAAUGGACACUAUGCUGCAACAUUUCAGUGCCAAUGUGUCUGUUGGAGAGCUAUCCCUGCCAGGGGAUGUUACUCCCCCUAGACACCCAGGAAGAUUUGGUGUUUCUUGACAGCAUUUUGAGGGAGGAUAAAGAGCUCCAGGAACGAUUUGGACAAAUGUACUUCUAUAUGUGUUUAAACAACAACACCAUCAGCGAAAUAACUUCGACACCUGGAAAUAUGAUUCCUAACCUGCUACCUUCUAACCUGGUGACGGGCUCAGUCAGUGGUCAGACCAUCCAGUGCAUCUUCUCUGCUACAGUCCCCAAUGCUACUUCCACCAAGAGCAGCAGUACCUCCUUUUUCAUUUCCAUCUACGCUGGGACCCUGACUAAUGAUCAGAACCUAGGAGCUGCUUCAUGCCUUCAAACCCUCUGUGGAUGAUGCAUCCCUUCUGUGUGGUCUUUCUUGAACCCACUAUUUUUCUCCUCCUUCAGGAGUCCCAGGUAUUCCUGAGCCUGUCUUUAUAAGACACUUUAUGUUGUGUUGAGAAGUAAAUAUGAGGUAUACACCCAAGGCAUCCACCACAAGUUAUUUAUUUGAGCACAGUCACCUUUUACUUCAUCUUAGCUGUUGUCAAGUUAUGAAGACAAUUUUGUUCGAGUGUGAGUGUAAAUAUUUGCUACAUAUUUGCAUCUAAUUAAGCCACAAGUAAGCAGAAGCUGAUACUUGUGUGUUU